GUGAUGGGGAACAGAGAGCUGCUGCUGGGCACAGAGCAAUCCCAGCCCUCUGGGCUGUCCCACUGGGGGGGUGGAGGGGAGUUGACCCUGCUGGGAUGGGAUCCUCCUGCCUGGGCUGCUCGGAUGAGAGCUCCGUGUCCCAAUCUCUGCUGCUACCGUCGGGGUCAUGCUGUGUCUGAAGCAAGACGAGAGGUGCCCCAAGACAACACCUGAACACACUGGCUGUGCCUCCUAAAUGCCUUACAGAUCAGCGUGCCCAGCACAGCAGCUCCAUGACAGAAGCAGCAAUAGAUGGGGCUCAGCUCCCGAGAGCUCCUGCUGUAAGUCCUGCAAGGCACAAACCUCAGCUGUUCCGAAGGUGUGAGGUAGGCGGGCUGGGUAUUUUUGAACACACUGCAAGAAAGCCUGGUGUCAACAUUUGCAUUCCUCCUGCGGUGUUACAAAGCCUGAUCCCGUAUUAAACAGCAGAAAAACCUGAAGCCGACUUCCAUGACCCACCCAGACUAGGUAAGAUGGGGAAGGCACUGAGGGAGCAGAAGGCGAGGAGGAGGCAGGAGGGGAUGGGCUGCUGUGCUCUGCCCUGCUGCUGACCCAGGGGGUUCCCACUGACACUGGAACCAGUGGCACAGAAAGCCAAUAAUCCUCUUACCGGCCUGGCACUGCCCGUGCUGCGCUCCAAUUAGCAGCCCAGCCUCGCCGGGGUUGUUAUUAAUUACGGGAGGAAGAGGGAUGGAGGAGAUUUAGAGCACGUCUGCUGAGGGAAAGGAGGGCAGAGGGGAAAACGCUUUGCAGGUCUGAGCUGUUCCACUCUCACUGUGCUCUCAUUCUGCCCCCAGAACGGAGCCCCUCCCCCAUGCAGUGCAUAAGAUGCUACACAAAAUACACCCCAGGUGCUGCUGCUGCUCCGUUUGUCACCGUUCCAUUUCAGUAUUCCCAGAUGAUUUUCACCCUGGGGAAAAGCCAGAGUCCCCCACCCCAGGCAGGCGCAGCGGGAGCAGCCAUCCUCCCCCAGCAAGAGGGCUGCACGCCUCAGGAAACUCAUCCCAAAGCCUCAGCAGACUGCACAGCCCUCCCAGUUAGCAGCAAGGGACCCAAAGUCACGAGAACGUAAGUGAGGCACGAGGAGUCAGCUGGGUGGCACAGGGAACAGCUUUGCUGAGCACAAAGCUCCGCUUCCCACCGCACUGCCAGCUAAAAUUGGGCACGUCUCUAAAGGGACGUGGUGCUUAAAAAUAGGGUUCGUAGUCCCAAAGGCUUUUAAAGAGAGCUCAAGGCGGUUGCGUGCAUCACACCCCAUAGGAGGAGACGCAGGUUGGGGUAGCACCUGCCCAGCACCCCAAAGCUGGGGUGGGAUCCCCCUCUGUUGGGCAGCACUCAUUGCCCUAACCCUUACCAUGCAGCCUCUGUUCUGCCACCUCUCUCUGCUUCCACUGACGUACCGUGCAUGACACAGCACAGUUUUGCAAGGCACGAUGCGUGCCACACUUAUCUCUGCAGUGCCACAGACGUGGCCAGCACUGGUUCAGGGCCACGGGUCGCUGCCAUGCAGCCCAGCACCUGCCAUCACAGCAACACAGUAUCUGCUCCUCCUUGCACACGGGGACUGCAGGCAAAAAGCAGAACCUAUUGCAACGAGAUCUCUCUCUCUGUGAAGCAGUCGGAUGCCCAAAGGCUCUCAUUUACACUCACAAACGACCGCCGCUUUCGAGCCAUCCUGGAUUGCUUUGCGCAAUCUCCGCUGCCAGACACACAGGUCAAGUCCAAGUCACACUUAUCAAGAAACAAAAUAAGGUUAAAAAUAUUGUCUCAGUGUGCAGGACGGUCUCUCUGGAGGCUCCUGUGGCUUUGCCUGAAAUACACCCAACGUCACUGCAGGAUGUACCCACACACCUUGCAGGCUGCUGAAUCGCAUCUGCUACAGAAAGCCCCGGCUCCUGAGCCUGGCUCCAGCCCUGCACGCUGCUGAAGGCACUGGGGCUGUGCUGAGGUCUGAGCUGGGUCAGGACCAGGACCGGGGGAGCUGAGGGUCUUCACACCGGGCAGGGAUUUUCUACCUGCACCCUCAGGCAUUCGCACCGUUGGCGUCAUCUGCCUCCCAAACCACAGUUCUGCACAGGAAGGGAACGAGCCGCCCGCAAGCACCGGAUGCGCGCCGUACUCACGUUCAUCUUCCAGAGCCGCCCUCCUCUUUCAAGCCAUUUUGUGAGAAAGCCCCGUCGCUCACCGCCGCCUACGGCAUCGCUGCCUGCGUGCCCUGCAAGGACCCGGGCUCCAGAGCAGCCCUUAAUCCAUCCAGCACCAAAGCUCCGGGCUCAGCCCUGCAGCUGCGGGAUGCCCGGUGCCACCAAGGCGCUCCCCUCGGCUCCAGCCCGCGACGGACGGAGGUCCCCAGGCAGUGCGGAGCUCUCCAAAGCCGUCCCUUUUACGUUCUCCGACCUUGCGAGGAAAAUCCUGUCUCGUUUGAAUUAUUCAUCAUACUUUCUGUUCUGCCAGCUCCGGCAUACGUUCUGAAUCAUUAAUAUGUCAUGACUUCUUAUCUCUGUUUUUCUUUUUGACUUUUAUCUUCUCUCCUCCUUGAAAAAUAACGCGAUCACCGCUGUGUUAAUUAGCAUCCAUCUGAUUUACCAAAUCAAAAGCCGUCUCCGUCCUGAUGCACACCCUUCCUUGUGGGAAAUACCACUUUAACAGCUCUGGGAACUGGGCUAGCGCUGGCUGGUUCUAUCUAAAGCACUGCAAAACAUGUUUGGAUUUCACUUUUUGGCAGCGUUUCCUGAGCCUGCAAGCCGGUCUGGUGAUGGAAAGCCGGGUAGGCUUCCAGGAUCAUAAAAGAAGAACAAGGUAACGGCGCUGGGAGUGCUGUCAGACAGCUCGUUUUCCUCCUUUAUAAGCAGAGCUGAUGGCAAACCACUCCAAGCCACGGGCAGCAAGGGCAGCAGGGCCGGCUUGGCUCAGUGCUGCACUACCGCAGUGGGGACACAGCUGCUGCCAACAGCGGGAGCUGACCCUACAGCAUGCACCUGGACUCACACCUGUCCUAUGGGGCCCGUUGGACUUUGGGAAAGCAGUGAACCACCCCCUGAAUCCUCCCUGCCCCGGCUUGGCUCUCCCUUAUUAAUUUUGAGUCGGAUCCAACAAGCAGCCCUUCCCACAGCUCCUGGCUGGCAGAGCUGCAUUGCCCACCCCGUUCUCCAAAGAGCUAAAUGACAUUUCAGCGGCAGGAAGCUCCUGCCAAUAACAUCACAGCCCGGCCUCGUUGCUUUCAUGAGCCCCUCCAUUAGGCUCCGUGCUGGAGGUGGCUCCAAGAGGAGCCAGGGCUGGGGCUCAGCCCGGCCCCAGUGCCUGCAAUCAGGGCUGGGAGCGGACGUAACCCACCCCGUUCCCAACACAUUCCUUUCUGUACAGAUUUGACAUAGGAACCGCACCCGGUUUCAUAAAUAAAUGCAGCGGGAACCUGAACUAUUCAGCCCGCUGACCUGAAGUUGGUUCUGAAGUUAAUAAUUCAUUCACGUGAGCUGGGAUGGAGGUUUCUAAUUCAGCUCAUUUCAGAAGUCGAGAGGAGGAAGAAACACAUCGCAGAAGUUAACUUAUCCUGGGGAGUCAGAGCAUCCCAGGUAACAGCAGCAGGAUGGGAGGUGAUGGCCUCACCUUGCACCAGGGGAGGGUCAGGCUGGGUAUUAGGAAACAUUUCUUCUCCCAAAGAGCAGUGAUGCAGUGGCACAGCUGCCCAGGGAGGAUGGGGUCACCAUCCCUGGAGGUGUUCAGAGCUGUGGGGAUGUGGCACUGAGGGAUGCGGGCAGCGGGCAUGGUGAGGUGGGCAUGGUUGGGUGGGGAUCUCAGAGGUCUUUUCCAGUUGUCAUUGUUGGAAACCAUUGGUUGGAAGCCUCCAGCAGCACCCAACCCUGUAAUUCAAA
rnacentral:lncRNA from 1 species